CUAAAGUCGUUUUACUUUAGAUGCUUUCCGAAAGGUUGUCCACGUCAUUUCCAGAUUCCAUGAACAGAUAAUCUCCAAGGUAUCACUCAAGUUAAAGAGACGGGACUUCUUCCCUCCCCACCCGUCUCCACGCAUCAGUGGAGGGGAGGGAGGAGACGGCGGACAGAAGAAGGAGGGGGGGCAAAGUGAGAAAAGCAAGAUGAGAAAGGGGUGUGGAAGGAAGGAUGAGAGGAGGGCAGGGAGAGAGGACGAUUAGGGCUGGUGGAGAGCCCGGGGCGUCUGCCCGGGCACGGGACCCGGUCCCGCAGCGCGCAGCCAGCUCCGCGGCCCCGGAGCAGUCGCAGCCCCUGCCCGGCCCGGCCCGGCCCGCGAGCCGCCUUCCCGCUCCGGACUGCGGCGGGCAGCGCUCGCGGGAGGCCCUAAGAAGAGAGAGUGAGAUUAUUGGACUGUGAGCUUUUCCUUAACUUCUCACAAGAGCAGGAGCAUGAGGAGGUGGAGUGGUGAUGAAAACCAAUAAGCCAGUCUAUCACAACAUGGGUAACUUCAUGGACUUCUGUGGUUCCCUGCAUAGGCUUUUCAUCACUGAGGUGAAAAUCAGAGAGAGCCAGUACCAUACAGGAAACAAGCAGCAACCACAGAUGGCUUCCUUUGCAGCCUCGUUGACACCUCCUUCUGCCUGUUGCAAAACCUCAGUUUUGUCUCCAAACUCUGAUAUUUUGGCUGGCUGACUUCAUGAGAAUUAUCCAAUAAUUUCUAAAAGGGUAUUCAUUUUCAUUUAUUAUCAUUUGAGGAUAAGUAAUAUUCUAUACUUGUAUGUAACAUGCAGAAUCUGAAAUCCGGCACUGAAAUUGUCAAAUGAAGCAUAAGUGAUACGUUAGAUGUGCCUAAAGAGAUUUUCAUCUUUUUAAGAGCGAAAAUCCAAAUCCUCCAAAGUGUGACAUUUUCAGAAGGCAUGCACACCGCCCCCCCAUAAUCGUUCUCUGGGGAUUUCCCACUUCCUGAGGGGUCUCUUGGUUCCACCUGCGCCUCCGCUGGCUGGAGUGAGACUGAGAAGAGCUAUGUCUGGAUUGGCACAUCUACCUCCUAGUCGCCAAGUGUGCAAUUACCACUGUUCGUUGCCUCAGGUAAUCCAGCCACUCAUGCAAGACACAGCAUUAUUCUCAUGGAGAUAAUACAUAGAUCCUCCUUUGGAAAGAGAAUCAUUUGUUUGAACUGUUUGUGGAAAUAAUGAUAGAAACUUUGCUACUUAAUCAAAGGCGUACAAAAUUUGGAAAUACUUUGGAAAUAACUGAUAUCCUCAGUUAAAACCAAUAAUUAAAAUUGCAAUAAAAGUGUAAAUGAAAUGAACUCAAUGAAAUGACUAACCACUAUUCCUUGUUUAAAAUUUUUAAGCUAAAAUAGUCUUUAGUAUGACAUUUCCAUUGAGGUCCCCUAAUGUAAGCAAACUUAACCAUUAGUCUUAUUUGCACAAUAAAUUGAGUCCUAAUAUUUGAUUUGAAAAUGAAUUUUUUAUUUUGAAAAUAAUUUGGCAGAGCAUGAAAAGAGGAAUUCUCCCCAGGCAUUGAAAUAUUUAGUGUAGACACAAGUCUUCUACAGCAUUCUUGCGACUCUAGAGCACCGUACUAGAGGGUCUGUGAGCCCUUUGAAAUUAUGAGCAAAAACGUACGUCUUUGUGUAUAUCAUUUUGAUGGAAAAGUUAAAACAGCUUUCCUCAGAACCACGGCAUAAAACAAAACUUCAUUCGUUGUGUAAAUUCCUCUAUGCUUGUGUGUUUUUAAAGAACGAAAAAUACCCGUGUGUAUGGACUCACUGAAGUGUAUGAAGAAUAUCAAUAAGACCAUCGGCACAUGCACAUAGGUAUAUUUUCAGAGCAACAGGAAUAUUUCUGGUCAUAACAUAAAUGAUAUGUAUUAAAAUGAUACAAUUUUAUUAUUCAUUAGCUCAUUAUGAUUUCAUUUAUCAUCAUAAAGAUAUUAAUUUCUCAUGAUUUCUCUUGUUCACUUUAUGGAAAAAUUCCUUUAUUGAAAAAUAAAUAUCUUGAAAUUAAUGGCAGCAAAAUAAAUUUGAGAAGAUCUGUUUAAUGUGCAUUUAGUGACAUCUCACUGAACUUUGCUUACUUUAAAAUGCAGAAAAAUAUUUUGGAUGUUUAAAAAAUGAAUUGCAGAGCUGGAGAGCUGCCUCUGUGAGCGCUGACAUUAAUUGCCACCUGUACCUUGAAUUGGGGGACUCUGAUGGACUUGCUCCAGAUAAUUUAAGUUGUGUAAAGAAGUUUCUGGGUAAAAAUUGACAUCACUUAACAAAAAUGCUUUGCCAUGGGUCUUUUUGUAAUCAAUGCCUAGGGCACAUGUAUUGACAUUUGAAUUAGAAAUGAGUUUCAAAUAAAUAUUCCAUAUAAAUAACUAUUAGAUACAGUUCCACGGGAGAAGGAGCUAGCUCCUCUUCAGUGCGGUAUCUUUAGAGUCUGACAUUCAACCAAUAGUCAAAGAUUGAAAAAUCAGUCAAUCCAUAUAUGCUGUAAAUCCAUAGUUAUCUUUCUGGUUUCUGUGAGUACUAAGAGUGGUGCAUGACUCUGGGAUAGUCUAAAUACCUCUCUAGAUGUUCUUCUAUACAGGGGAGGAAUUUCCCAAUACGAUGGACAAGCGUUAUGUUACAGUAAAGUGAUAAACUAAUUGGAGAUAACAAAACAUUUUGGCCUACAAACUACGUAAUAGUGAUAAAAACAUUACUAACUAACUUUCAUAGCUCCUUUGCAUGUUAAAUGGUAUUAAGAAAAGUUAUUUAAGAAGUGUAAACAAGGCAAAGGGGCGUGCUUUUAAUGUCUAACAGGUCCACUCCAAAUUAUUUAGUAAUCUAGAGAAUGUGCUUGUUAAAUUCACUGUUGGCUAUUGAUGAAAAGUCCAGACUUAAUGACAUUACAUGUUAACUUGUAAAUUUUUUCUAACAGAAAUAAUUUCUGUCCAGGAGAAAAAGAAACUCAAUUGAUACAGAUUAUUAGAAACAAUUUCUAUACAGGAGAAAAAUAAACCCAAGUGUUACAGAUUAUUAUCCCAUAAGAUGUUAAUCAGUUUUGAAUCUUACCUAGAAAUCUUUACUAGUAUUGUUUCAAAAUGCCUAUAAAUACCCAAAUCCUCAAAAUACUCUGAAUCAGCCUUGCCAUCUGAUUGGUUUAUUUGUUAAUUAAUGAGUUUAAUAAAAUCUUUGCACAUCUUUAUUUUAUAUUUGAAUGAGACAUGUUAUUAACGUUCUGAAAAUGAUACUUAAAGAAUGGAUUAUUGUAAUCUUCACAACCACAGGAAAUAAGUACUAAAAUUGUCCCAUGCACUGUUAUUAUUACUGAUAGUACCAUGCGUCUUAUUGUCAACCCUGUAGAGAAUCUGAGCAUUAGGGAGGUUAAGUGGCUUGUCCGAGGUCACACAGGUGAAUGGGAUUGCAAACUCUCUAAUGCCAACAACCCAUGCCCCUCACUGUCCUGCGACACUGCCCGGAGGCGGGAAGAAAGCUCACGCUGAAAGACUGGAGCUGAAAGCUGUGUCUGCAUGAGUCUGAAAAGCACUGUUAAAGGCAAAGUGAAUUUAUAAAAGUACUUCAUGAAAUUAAUGUGAUGGGAGAAGCUAUUAAUAACGUAUAAUGCAUAUGUAUGAUAUAUAUAUGAAUUGGCACACACAGGCAUACACAGAAAUACUGCCUCAUGUAAGAAAUGGUCAUCAUAGGCAUAUUCUGCACGUGAGUCAUAAUCAAGGCAAAACCUUUGUCCCUUUCGGAAAUCCAGCUGCAUCAUUGUCGAUUGCCCCAGGGUUUCACAUUGUACAUAUGGGCAAAACAGUGGGGUUUGAAAGUUAUAUUCAAAAUGUUUGAAACUUUUAUCAAGAGUCCCAGAACAGAAAGCCUUCUGGAUAGUGGAUGAAUAGAGAAAAUAUUUGUGAGGUUUUGUUUCCUUUGUUGUUUUGUUUUUGUCUUCAAACUGGUCUAACAGGGAUUAUGCGUCUUGAAAUCACCAUUUUCUUACCUGAAGGUUCUUCUUUAGGACAGCAGGGUCUGAAUCAACAACAGCUUUCCUUCGGCCAUCAACGAAAGGCCACGUAUGAGAGGUUUUUGCAUCUCAGUCCGACUUUUAAGCUGCAAAAGGUAACACGCAGUUUGUCUUUGUCUGCAGCGUUCUGCACUGUGGCCCCGAGCUGCUAAGCUCCCGCCCUAGUGGGGUCUGCUUCCUUUGAGAGUUGUCUGUAAAUAAAAGCAGAUAGAACCAACAGCCUUCUGCCUCCCUUAGGUGUCUGGAAUGUUCUCAAACUGGUCCUAGGAAAAAAUAAAAGCCUUAACUGUGGUCCUCUUAAAGCCACUUCCCAAGUGUUGUCCCUGAGCCCAUUAUAUCAACAUAACCGAAUCUGCUUGUUUAAAAACAUGCAUACCUCUUGGCCUCACUCCUGACCUGCUGGAUCAGAGCCUCUCAGCUGCGAUCAGGGAAAGAGAAUUUCAACGAACCACUCAGCUGACCCCUGCAGCCUAUAAAGCUCUUUGAAAGCAGUCCUCCUUACAGUUACACACCUUGGACUUGUACACAUCUUAACUUUUGACUCUGAAAAAAGCAUCUACUUGUAUUUUAAAUAAGCAACUUGGGAAUCAGAGCUUGGGUGUUAAAUUCUGAUCAAUUUUCAAGGAAAAUUAUUUUGUUCCAACUUCAAAAAAACACUUAGAUUGGCUGUUUAACUCAGGAGGGUAUUUUGUUUUGUUUGGCAAGAAAAUACUUAGUAAGAUGAGUAUCCUAACUGUUGCAAAUUACCUGAUAAUCACAUUCCUGAUGUGUUUCAAUGGCUGUAUUUCUGGGACAGAGAUGAUAUAUUUGGAUGUAAAACCCAACUUGGGAUGCCGCUAAUCAGUAAAUUACAAGUGAUGUGUGAUUGAAUUUCUCAAUUAGAAUUGUAACCUAGUGUGUGUGUGUGAGUGUGUGUGUGUGUAUACAUAUACACCAUAACAAAUAGUGUUAUGCCGAUGUUGUUUUAGAGUCUUUCCUUUUAUAUUUUUAAAGAACCAAUACUUAAUAAAUGUUAAAUUUCUGGGGAAAAUAGCUACUAACAUCUGUAUAGAUCUUUAGCCUUUACAAAGUAAUUUCUAUUUCAUAUUUAACCCUCUUAAUGGAUAUUACUGUUGCUUUUGAUGACAGUAAUAGUAACUAAUGUACAUGCUGUCUUCAUCCUCCUUAGCCCUCCAGUUCCAUCCUCCCCUCAUAUUACUAUGUCACUUCAUGCAGACUAUAAGGUGCAUUUAUUCUAUAGGGUGAUAAUCAUCUGUGUAAGUGUGUCCCCUCCAUGAGACUCUGGGUUCUUUGAGAAAUGGAACCAUGUCUUUUAAUCUGUGAUGCCUAGUACAGUGAUAAGCACAUAUCAUUGAACAGUGAUGAAUGAAUAAGUGAAUGUAUGAAUGAAUGAAUGAGUAAGAAAACAAUGGCUUAGACUGAGGAUCUGCAAACUAUGGCCUGCAGGCCAAAUCCAUCCUGCCACUGCUUUUGGGGUUUUUUCUUCUUAUUAAAGUAUAGUUGACAUAGAAUGUUGUAUCAGUUUAGGUAUACAACACAGUGAUUCAACAUUUAUUUACAAAACGGUCACAUUGAUAAGACUAAUAACCAUCUGUCAUCAAUAACAAAGUUAUUACAGUAUUAUUGACUAUAUUCCCUAUGCUGUGUUUUCAUCCCCACAACUUAUUUAUUUUGUGACUGGAAGUUUGCACCUCUUAUCCCCUUCACCUAUUUCGCCUCCCUCUACCUCCUCCCCUCUGGCAACCACCAAUUCGUUCUCUGUAUGUAUGAGUCUAUUUCUGAUUUGAUUUAUUUGUUCAUUUGUUUUGUUUAGAUUCCACAUAUAAGUGAAAUCAUACGGUAUUCUUCUUUCUCUGUCUGACUUAUUUCACUUAGCAUAAUACCCUCUAGGUCCAUCCCUGUUGUCACAAAUGGAAGGAUUUCACUCUUUUUUAUGGCUGAAUAAUAUACCAUUACAUAUGUAUACCACAUCUUCUUUAUCCAUUCAUCUACCGACGGAUACGUAAGUUACUUCCAUAUCUUGGCUAUUGUUAAGCAAUGCUACAAUGAACAUAGGAGUGCAUAUAUCUUUUCAAAUUAGUAUUUUCAUUUUCUUCAGAUAAAUACCAGAAGUGGUAUUGCUAAAUCUACUUCUGUGGUUCUAUCGAACUACUACUUGAAUAGUGGUUCUAUUCUUAAUUUUUUGAGGAACCUUUAUACUGUUUUCCAUAGUGGUUUCAACAAUUUACAUUCCCACCAACAGUGCACAAGGGUUCCCUUUUCUCCACAUCCUCGCCAACAUUUGUUAUUUGUUGUCUUUGGAUAAUAGCCAUUCUAACAGGUGUGAGGUGAUACCUCUUGGUGGUUUUGAUUUGCAUUUCCCUGAUGAUUAGUGUUGGAGAGCACGUUUUCAUGUACUUGUUCUGCCACCUGUUUUUGGAUAACCCAGAAACUAGAAAUGGUUUUUACAUUUUUAAAUUAUUUUAAAAAAUCAAAAGUAUGAUAAUAUUUCAUGACACAUAAAAAUUGUAGGAAAUUCAAAUUUCAGUGUCCAUGAAUAAGAUUAUGUGUGUGUGUGUGUGUGUUGGGGAAAUCAGCCCUGAGCUAACAUCUGUGCCAAUCUUCCUCUAUUUUAUGUGAGAUGACACCACAGCGUGGCUUGACAAGUGGUGUUAGGUCUGCGUCUGGGAUCCGAACCUGAGAGCCCCAGGCUGCUGGAGUGGAGUGUGCCAACUUAACCACUACGCCACCAGUCAGCCCCAUGAAUGACAUUUAUGAGAAAACAAACAUGCUCAUUUGUUUAGAUAUUGUCAAUGGCUGCUUUUGUGCUCCAAUGAUAGAGUUGAGUAUUAGCAACAGAGAUCAUAUGGCCUGCAAAAUUGAAAAUAUUUACUAUUUGGCCUUUUACAGAAAGUUUACUGAUUCUCCGGAUUAGACAGAUUCAUUGUCUUACCCCGGAUGCUACAAAAAGUAAAUGAUAGAUCUGGAAUCAAAGUCAGAUGUUUUGACCUCAAAUUUAAUGCUUUUUCCUCCAUACUUUGCCAGCCCGGAAAACUGAUUUUAGUUCUAGACCAUUAACGCUUGCUUCCAAUUCUAGAGUUUCUUGUUAGGCAGAACUGGAUUUAAAUCUUAACUUUACUCAGUACUGGCUACAUUACUUGUGGAUCUAGUGCAAAAUGAAAAUGCCCCGGACCUGCAGCGCCAUCCCAUGGCAGACAGGAACCCUUCUGCUCUGGGAAAUGCUAAGUACAGGGUGGGCCACCCAGUCCCCAGCCUAAAGUGCAAUGGAGCUGCCCACCUCAGGCAGGGAUGGCCACUGUCUCCCCCCAUCUCCCGAGACCCGUGGGACACUUGCUGACCCUGGCCAUCCAGGAUGGAGGGUGUCAGUGAUCAGGGAGGGAUAGACAAUUAGUUGGGAUCCAGAGCACCUGGGGGCCGGGAGGGAAGGCGGGGUGACACAUGAGCUGAGACUCGAAGCCCCUGCCUCAUGCUCCAUUGUCCCAUCAGACUUCACUCACAAAAUAUAAAUUUGAAGAUAAAAUUGCUAAGAAUCUCAAGGUAGCAGCCACAGAGCAUUAAACCCCAAGCGCAGGCCCUUUCUGAGCAGGGUCACACAGGUUGUACUUCCAUGAAGCCAGCCCUGACCCUACCACAUAACCAGACAGGAUGCCUUCACAAGUUAAAGAAUCUGUCUGAGACCCAGUUUACACAGUGGUGCAAUGUACUUGGUGGUAUCUAUCCCAAAAAGUUGGGAAGUCUCAGUAGACCACAUAUAGAAAACAAUUAGCAAUGUUCUUGGCUAUUUAUUUUUCAGUUUCCUAUACCUUUUUCCAGGACUGACUCAAGAAGUAUUACCCCUAUCAAAAAAGACUAAAUGUCACUUCAUUAGGCUUACGUUGAAACCAAACUCCUUCCCAUUGUGAACUUCAUCAAUGGGUGGAUCGUAUGUUACCCUAAAGAGAUGUCCAGACUAAAAGUAAAUUGAGCCAUUAGUUAGAGCCAUUUUGGCUCCUUGUGAAUAAGUCUUUCUCUGGACACUCGUUAGCUAGUCUAUACCCUCUGGGUCUACCCUUGGAAAGCAAAUGAGAAACCUUCCCCAGGGUACUUUCGGACCUGUGUAUUAGUUGUAGUGUGCCACUGUAAGGGAUCCUAGCUUGACACUUUUAUGGUCACAAGCAUUAAACCUGCACCAACACUUAUAAUGUUUACCCUGGUUAUUCUCCAGGAUUCUACCCCUUCAGAAAAGGAAGUGUCGUUUGUUCCUCUUCCUUCAGCAAAGCAGUCAGCAUGCAUUUUAUGGUCUCCAGUGGAUUUACUGCCGACUUGGUCAGAUGGAUUCCAUACUAGUGUUCAGCUUCUCUUGGGGGUCUUUGUGAUUCUAUGCAACAACUCACAGCUUUUUUUUUUUUUUGAGGAAAAUUAGCCCUGAGCUAACAUCUGCUGCCAAUCCUCCUCUUUUUGCUGAGGAAGACUGGCCCUGAGCUAACAUCCAUGCCCAUCUUCCUCUACUUUAUAUGUGGGACGCCUGCCACAGCAUGGCUUGCCACGCAGUAUGUAGGUCUGCACCCGGGAUCUGAAUCGGCGAACUCCAGGCUGCCGAAGUGGAACUUUCGAACUUAACUGCUGUGCUACCUGGCCGGCCCCCCAACUCACAGCUUUGGGAAAGAAGACAAUAAUUCUAGUCUGUUACCACAGAGAACUAGGAUUGUAAAUAAACUCAAUGUAUUCAUAAAAGUACCAUUAGCAAGAAGAUGAUCUCACCUGUUGAGAUGUUGAUUCUGUUCAACAUGAGGAAGGUCAUUUCCUCUUUUAGUUUUUGUCUUUUGUCCUAGGAGUCACAUAAUGAUGUGUCCUAGUAAAUAAUAAUUUCCGAGCAGAUUUUGCUCUUUGUAUUGAGACACACUUGACUUUUAUUUGGAAAAUAAUUUUAGUAUUCAUAACUGGUUUGUUUUUUCAUAAAAACUGGUCAUUUGUUUUGAAUAAUAGAAGCAUUCAAUAAGUAUUCAGUUAAGGUGAAGCUAUAGAAUUCC
rnacentral:lncRNA from 1 species